rnacentral:rRNA from 1 species
ACUACGGGUGGCAGCAGUGAGGAAUAUUGGUCAAUGGGCGAGAUCCUGAACCAGCCAAGCCGCGUGAGGGAAGAUGGCCCUAUGGGUUGUAAACCUCUUUUGUCGGAGAACAAAACCCGGGACGUGUCCCGGACUGCGUGUAUCCGAAGAAAAAGCAUCGGCUAACUCCGUGCCAGCAGCCGCGGUAAUACGGAGGAUGCGAGGGUUAUCCGGAUUUAUUGGGUUUAAAGGGUGCGUAGGCGGUCCGUUAAGUCAGCGGUAAAAUGGCGGGGCUCAACCCCGUCGAGCCGUUGAAACUGGCAGACUUGAGUUGGCGAGAGGUACGCGGAAUGCGCGGUGUAGCGGUGAAAUGCAUAGAUAUCGCGCAGAACUCCGAUUGCGAAGGCAGCGUACCGGCGCCAGACUGACGCUGAGGCACGAAAGCGUGGGGAUCGAACAGGAUUAGAUACCCUUGUAGUC